CCAGACUCCUACGGGAGGCAGCAGUGGGGGAUAUUGCACAAUGGGGGGAACCCUGAUGCAGCGACGCCGCGUGGGUGAAGAAGUAUUUCGGUAUGUAAAGCCCUAUCGGCAGGGAAGAAAUUGGACGGUACCUGACUAAGAAGCCCCGGCUAACUACGUGCCAGCAGCCGCGGUAAUACGUAGGGGGCAAGCGUUAUCCGGAUUCACUGGGUGUAAAGGGAGCGUAGACGGCCAUGCAAGCCUGGAGUGAAAGCCCGCGGCCCAACCGCGGGACUGCAUUGGGAACUGGCGCGCUGGAGUGCCGGAGGGGUAGGCGGAAUUCCUAGUGUAGCAGUGAAAUGCGUAGAUAUUAGGAGGAACACCAGUGGCGAAGGCGGCCUACUGGACGGUGACUGACGUUGAGGCUCGAAAGCGUGGGGAGCGAACAGGAUUAGAUACCCUGGUA
rnacentral:rRNA from 1 species